rnacentral:misc_RNA from 1 species
GAUGAAGAACGCAGCGAAAUGCGAUAAUUAAUGUGAAUUGCAGAAUUUAGUGAAUCAUCGAAUCUUUGAACGCACAUUGCGCCCCUUGGUAUUCCGGGGGGCAUGCCUGUUCGAGCGUCAUUUCAACCCUCAAGCUCUGCUUGGUCUUGGGCCGCGCCGGCGACGGCGGGCCUCAAAAACAGUGGCGGCGCCAUCUGGUUCCUCAGCGUAGUAAUUCUUCUCGCUGUUGGGCCCGGGUGGCCGCUGGCCAGCAACCCCAAAUUUUCUAUGGUUAACCUCGGAUCAGGUAGGGAUACCCGCUGAACUUAAGCAUAUCAAUAAGCGGAGGA